CAGAAAAUAAUAUAUGUAUAUAGUAUGUAAAUUUUGGAGAUUUAUAGAGAUUGGAUCUUUUCUGA
rnacentral:tRNA from 1 species